UACGAAGGGGGCUAGCGUUGUUCGGAAUUACUGGGCGUAAAGGGCGCGUAGGCGGCGUGUCAAGUCAGGCGUGAAAGCCCCGGGCUCAACCUGGGAACCGCGCUUGAGACUGGCAUGCUCGAGUUCGGGAGAGGAUGGUGGAAUUCCCAGUGUAGAGGUGAAAUUCGUAGAUAUCCGGAGGAACACCGGUGGCGAAGGCGGCAUCCUGGACCGACACUGACGCUGAGGAGCGAAAGCCAGGGGAGCAAACGGG
rnacentral:rRNA from 1 species